UACGAGGGGGGCAAGCGUUGUUCGGAAUUAUUGGGCGUAAAGGGUGCGUAGGCGGUCUGAUAAGUCAUCUGUGAAAUCUAUGGGCUCAACCCAUAGUCUGCAGGCGAAACUGUCGGGCUUGAGUAUGGGAGAGGUGAGUGGAAUUUCCGGUGUAGCGGUGAAAUGCGUAGAUAUCAGGAGGAACACCUGUGGCGAAAGCGGCUCACUGGACCAUUACUGACGCUGAGGCACGAAAGCUAGGGGAGCAACCAGG
rnacentral:rRNA from 1 species